rnacentral:rRNA from 1 species
GACGAACGCUGGCGGCGUGCCUAAUACAUGCAAGUAGAACGCUGAAGGAGGAGCUUGCUUCUCCGGAUGAGUUGCGAACGGGUGAGUAACGCGUAGGUAACCUGCCUGGUAGCGGGGGAUAACUAUUGGAAACGAUAGCUAAUACCGCAUAACAGUAGAUAUUGCAUGAUAUCUGCUUGAAAGGUGCAAAUGCAUCACUACCAGAUGGACCUGCGUUGUAUUAGCUAGUUGGUGGGGUAACGGCUCACCAAGGCGACGAUACAUAGCCGACCUGAGAGGGUGAUCGGCCACACUGGGACUGAGACACGGCCCAGACUCCUACGGGAGGCAGCAGUAGGGAAUCUUCGGCAAUGGACGGAAGUCUGACCGAGCAACGCCGCGUGAGUGAAGAAGGUUUUCGGAUCGUAAAGCUCUGUUGUAAGAGAAGAACGAGUGUGAGAAGUGGAAAGUUCACACUGUGACGGAUUCUACCA